CGUAUCACCCAAGACAACUUUACGGAGUUGACGAUUGACGGAGCGAAGCGACGUCAAAGCGUUCAUUAAAGUCGAGUUGGCUUAGGGAUACGUUCGUUGGGUAGGGGAGCGUUCUGUAAGCCUGUGAAGGUGUGUCGUGAGGCAUGCUGGAGGUAUCAGAAGUGCGAAUGCUGACAUAAGUAACGAUAAAGCGGGUGAAAAGCCCGCUCGCCGGAAGACCAAGGGUUCCUGUCCAACGUUAAUCGGGGCAGGGUGAGUCGACCCCUAAGGCGAGGCCGAAAGGCGUAGUCGAUGGGAAACGGGUUAAUAUUCCCGUACUUGGUGUUACUGCGAAGGGGGGACGGAGAAGGCUAUGUUGGCCGGGCGACGGUUGUCCCGGUUUAAGCGUGUAGGUGUGUGUUCCAGGUAAAUCCGGUUCACUUUAACACUGAGGCGUGACGACGAGGCACUACGGUGCUGAAGCAACAAAUGCCCUGCUUCCAGGAAAAGCCUCUAAGCAUCAGGUAACAUCAAAUCGUACCCCAAACCGACACAGGUGGUCAGGUAGAGAAUACCAAGGCGCUUGAGAGAACUCGGGUGAAGGAACUAGGCAAAAUGGUGCCGUAACUUCGGGAGAAGGCACGCUGACACGUAGGUGAAGUGAUUUACUCAUGGAGCUGAAGUCAGUCGAAGAUACCAGCUGGCUGCAACUGUUUAUUAAAAACACAGCACUGUGCAAACACGAAAGUGGACGUAUACGGUGUGACGCCUGCCCGGUGCCGGAAGGUUAAUUGAUGGGGUCAGCGCAAGCGAAGCUCCUGAUCGAAGCCCCGGUAAACGGCGGCCGUAACUAUAACGGUCCUAAGGUAGCGAAAUUCCUUGUCGGGUAAGUUCCGACCUGCACGAAUGGCGUAAUGAUGGCCAGGCUGUCUCCACCCGAGACUCAGUGAAAUUGAACUCGCUGUGAAGAUGCAGUGUACCCGCGGCAAGACGGAAAGACCCCGUGAACCUUUACUAUAGCUUGACACUGAACAUUGAGCCUUGAUGUGUAGGAUAGGUGGGAGGCUUUGAAGUGUGGACGCCAGUCUGCAUGGAGCCGACCUUGAAAUACCACCCUUUAAUGUUUGAUGUUCUAACGUGGACCCGUAAUCCGGGUUGCGGACAGUGUCUGGUGGGUAGUUUGACUGGGGCGGUCUCCUCCUAAAGAGUAACGGAGGAGCACGAAGGUUGGCUAAUCCUGGUCGGACAUCAGGAGGUUAGUGCAAUGGCAUAAGCCAGCUUGACUGCGAGCGUGACGGCGCGAGCAGGUGCGAAAGCAGGUCAUAGUGAUCCGGUGGUUCUGAAUGGAAGGGCCAUCGCUCAACGGAUAAAAGGUACUCCGGGGAUAACAGGCUGAUACCGCCCAAGAGUUCAUAUCGACGGCGGUGUUUGGCACCUCGAUGUCGGCUCAUCACAUCCUGGGGCUGAAGUAGGUCCCAAGGGUAUGGCUGUUCGCCAUUUAAAGUGGUACGCGAGCUGGGUUUAGAACGUCGUGAGACAGUUCGGUCCCUAUCUGCCGUGGGCGCUGGAGAACUGAGGGGGGCUGCUCCUAGUACGAGAGGACCGGAGUGGACGCAUCACUGGUGUUCGGGUUGUCAUGCCAAUGGCACUGCCCGGUAGCUAAAUGCGGAAGAGAUAAGUGCUGAAAGCAUCUAAGCACGAAACUUGCCCCGAGAUGAGUUCUCCCUGAGACUUAGAGUCUCCUGAAGGAACGUUGAAGACGACGACGUUGAUAGGCCGGGUGUGUAAGCGCAGCGAUGCGUUGAGCUAACCGGUACUAAUGAACCGUGAGGCUUAACCUUACAACGCCGAAG
rnacentral:rRNA from 2 species